AACGAACGCUGGCGGCAGGCCUAACACAUGCAAGUCGAGCGAAGCCUUCGGGCUUAGCGGCGGACGGGUGAGUAACGCGUGGGAACGUGCCCUUUGGUACGGAAUAGCCCCGGGAAACUGGGAGUAAUACCGUAUGUGCCCUUCGGGGGAAAGAUUUAUCGCCAAGGGAUCGGCCCGCGUUGGAUUAGGUAGUUGGUGGGGUAAUGGCCUACCAAGCCGACGAUCCAUAGCUGGUUUGAGAGGAUGAUCAGCCACACUGGGACUGAGACACGGCCCAGACUCCUACGGGAGGGAGCAGUGGUGAAUCUUAGACAAUGGGGGAAACCCUGAUCUAGCCAUGCCGCGUGAUCGAUGAAGGCCUUAGGGUUGUAAAGAUCUUUCAGUGGGGAAGAUAAUGACUGUACCCACAGAAGAAGCCCCGGCUAACUCCGUGCCAGCAGCCGCGGUAAAAC
rnacentral:rRNA from 1 species